AAGAAAGAGAAAGAAAGAAAGAAAGAAAGAAAGAAAGAAAGAAAGAAAGAAAGAAAGAAAGAAAGAAAGAAAGAAAGAAAGAAAGAUUAGGGAGUUGGGGUAACCAGGUAAUUUAGGCCAAUGGAUUCAACUGUGCCUUAAGCUGGUACUACCCUCAUUUAUGUGAGUCAAUCAAGUCCCCCUUUUUUGCUCAAGCUACUCUGAGUUGGGUUUUUAUCACUUGCAACCAAGAGUCAUGACUAACAAACCCAUCCUACUGUUACCUCUUUUGCCUUGGCUCUGUAUUCCACACAGAUUUAAUCCUGGCGCUGAUAUAAUUUUGUUUAAAUAUUUCUUCACCAGCUUGCCUGUGAACUUACAGAAGGCAGACAUUUGUGUCUUUGCAUUUCCAGUGCCUAGCACAUGGUAGACAUUCAGCGAACGUCUGCAGGGUGGAUCAUGCACCCAAUGUUGUCAACUCAUUUGAUGAUCAGCCCCCUUUCCCCCAACCAAAAAAAAAAAAAAGAUGUAAAAUGAAACAGCACAGAUCUUACUAGUGGGGAGAAAGGUGAAUGCCUCUAACGCUGUUAGAAAAAGGAUACCUCUGGGGAAACUAAGUGACUAACAAAUAAAAAUGAUUCUCUAAAAAUAGGAGAGCUGUCCCUGCAAGCUGAACUAACAGAAGAUGAAGAAUGAGGUCUCCCUGAAAUGCCCACCAUAAGACUGCCAGAUAUGGGACUGCUGGAUGACACUCUGGCUACCCCACUGAGUUUUAUGAAAACAUAACAGAAUAAAGACACUUACUUGUCAACUCAGUUACAAGCUAUUGAGGCACUCCAGAGUGACAGCAUGUGAUCCCCCUGACACAAGAAACAGGCCCAGAUAACACACCGUUCAGACCA
rnacentral:lncRNA from 10 species